GACUGUUCGUUAAACGGCCGCGGUACUCUGACCGUGCGAAGGUAGCGUAAUCACUUGUCUCUUAAAUGGGGACUAGUAUGAAUGGCAUCACGAGAACUAAUCUGUCUCCCUCCCCUAAUCAGUGAAACUGAUCUCCCCGUGCAGAAGCGGGGAUAACACCAUAAGACGAGAAGACCCUGUGGAGCUUUAAAUCAAAAAUCAACUGACUCACCAUAUUACCCUAAUAUUCACCCCUCAAACAUGAUUUAGAUUUUAAGCUGGGGCGGCUGUGGAGAAAAAACUAUCCUCCACGAAACUUUCCCGAGGGCUACUACCCUAAGUAAUAAUAAAUUAAUUUAAUUGACCCAUUUUUUGAUCAACGAACCAAGUUACCCCAGGGAUAACAGCGCAAUCCACUUUUAGAGUCCAUAUCGACAAGUGGGCUUACGACCUCGAUGUUGGAUCAGGGCACCCAAGUGGUGCAGCCGCUACUGAAGGUUCGUUUGUUCAACGAUUAAAGCCCU
rnacentral:rRNA from 1 species